GAAAGAUUUAUCGUAACAUCACUCCACUUUUUAAUUACAUGGUUUGAUGUUUUGGUGGCUAGCUUCUUGAGUUCAUUGUAUAUUUUGGAUAUCAAUCCUCUGUCAGAUAUCAAGAAGGAAUCAUGUCCUUUUUGAGGAGACAAGGUCAAGACUGCAAACCAGAAAGAAAAGAAAAAGGGAAUCACCAGGAAGAAAAAGGAUACAGCCAAGGUCACAGAAGGAAAAGAAUGAUGGAGAAUGAGCACCAGCAGAGUAACUUUGUAUUCUUAGCUCUUUGGUACACCUUCUCUCAAGUAAACAUUGGGAUGAAUAAGAUCACUUUGUUGUCCCUCAGCACUUUUGCUGCAAAU
rnacentral:lncRNA from 1 species